UCUAUCUGUCAGCCUUUGGGGGCCAGCUGCCCUCUCCGCCAACCCCUCUACUGAUCUGGUCUGGCUCCCUUAGCAUGCUGCUGAUGAGCUGUGUCACGAGGGCUCCACAAGGAAAUAGCGGCCUGUGGCUCCUGCAUGUUUGCAAGUCCCACCCAGUUCUCCAAAGUUCAACGGGGAUCGUUGGUUAAUUUCAACGAGUUUCCACUGCCUGCCUGGUGACUCUCUUGCUGAUAAAACAUACAGGCAGGAACUACCUGCUCUAGCAAAAAGGGGGUACAAUCCUGGUUCUUUCGACCCUCUGUUUGAAAACUUGAUUUCUCCCAUUGUUUUCUCAACUGAUGUCAACUAACUGCCAGCAAAAACAACCACUGAAGUCAACUGGAGCUUUGCCCAAGUUGCACCCACUUAUUUAUGAGUCUGCUUCGAGUGAGGACGGAGACUCUCAGAAGUUGCAGAGGUUCUCUACGGGGAACUGUGUCAGUGCUCAACUCUCUGUUGAUGACCUAGGGGAAGAGCUAUCAACAGUAGUGGACCCAGCCCCCUCCACCUGCCUAGCAUCUCUGCACAUCCCUGCCCUCCUGUCCAGUCACGCUAAGGCCAUUUCCCUGUACUGUUGGGCUUCUUGUGGCUAAGCCUAUUUAUAACCCAUUUUAGAAAUCCAUCAUCAUGACUUUUUUUAAGACAGGCCCAUUGACUUGAACCCCUGAACUCAAGGGCACAGGGGAUGCAGAACUUCUGACACUGGUAACAGGAGAUGCUGCUGAAUUCCAGUCUAAGGAUGUGUAAGCCCUUCUUUUUUGAGUGGGUCCGUCCAUGUCUUCAGGUAGCUCCACAUUUCAGUGUGCCCAGCACAUGUGUUGCUUUCCUCAUCUAAUUAAACUUUCAUCUGCUUAGGUUUUCUCCUACCGACCUGGAAACUCAACCCUGACCCAUGUUCUGGCAUGAGGUCACCAGCAAAGAACUUGUGCCGAUGGCUGUCUCCCACCACCUGAGCUCCGGGGCUGGGCUCCUGUUGCAUGGUCCCCUGUGGUGAUGACAUUUGUAUCUCGAUGUCAUCAUGUCACAGUUAAUAAAGCCAAGGCAGGGUGGUGAGUUGUAAUGACUCCUCCUGAUUGGCCAAACAUUGCGUGCACCCAGUUACUCAGCCUCUCCCACCCCUACUCCAGCCUGCUUGUUUGUCCCAUAUGCCCAUGAAGUCUUGUCUUUUUGCCUGCAAGAGCUGUCUUUUAAUAUAUCUUUGUACACCACCUAGCACAAUGGGGCCCAGUCUGGUAGGCCUCUAAACGCUACUGCAGUAUAAAUGGAAAAUAAUAAUACUAACAAUGAGAGUAGGAUUUUUUUAAAAGGCUCAGAUAUUUAUAUGAGUAAUGAGAACAUUUAGAGCUACCAUAGUGAGGAUUAGAACAAACAGCCCCCCCAAUUGUUAUCAACUCACCUUCUUUGAGGACAUUAGCCAACUUCUAGUUUUCCUUACUGCAGGGACUUGUCCAGCCCAUAACCAUAGUAUCUGAGUGCCUCACAGUGGCUGUAUUGUGGCAAAACCCCCAUCCCCACCCCGUCCAAAGUACUUUUACAGAGGGGGAACUGAAGCACAGAGAGAGAAAGUGACUUGACCAAGUUCACACAGGAAGUCUGUAGCAGAGCUGGAAACUGACUCCGGAUGAUCUUGAGUUCUCGGCUAGUACCCAAACCACAGGACCAUCCUCCUGCAGCUGACUAUAAUUGUCUAGAUGAGCUGGAUGGUCUAGACAAGAUGAUCAAAAUGGUCCCUUCUGGCCAUAAAAUACAUAUGAACUCUAGAGUGACUCCACUAACUUGAGCGGAGUCACUCCAGGUUUAUUCAG